rnacentral:rRNA from 1 species
UACGAAGGGUGCUAGCGUUGUUCGGAAUCACUGGGCGUAAAGCGCACGUAGGCGGAUUUUUAAGUCAGGGGUGAAAUCCCGAGGCUCAACCUCGGAACUGCCUUUGAUACUGGAGAUCUUGAGUCCGGAAGAGGUAAGUGGAACUGCGAGUGUAGAGGUGAAAUUCGUAGAUAUUCGCAAGAACACCAGUGGCGAAGGCGGCUUACUGGUCCGGAACUGACGCUGAGGUGCGAAAGCGUGGGGAGCAAACAGG